UAUCUUUUAUAUUUUGGGCUGAUAUUUUCUUAUGAUAUUCGUCUCUUCCCUUCCUUCUACGAUGGCUCAGCGACGUCUGCGCGCUUCUUCCAAAUCUCAAAUUUCUGAAACUGUGUGAGACUGAGUUGAAUCGUCGUCAUCAAAGCACAGUUUCCAAUCGAAAAAAUCUUCUCCACGAAACCUUCACCAACCUUAGGUUCCAAUCGAAAAAAUCUGAAACGUUACAGAGUAAGACUGAGUUGAAUCGUCGUUAUCAAAGCACUCAUUAACCAUUGAUCUCCUCUCCUCCCACGAUCAAUCUUUGAAUGCAUUCCCCUUGAUUUCCUUUCUCAGGAUCUUCUACUAUAAAAAGGUCUUUGCAAGUCCCGGCGGGAGAGAUUCGGCAAUAACCCGGCCGGGAAGUACGAGUAUGUUGACGUUAACGGAUGAGAUAAGAAGGAGAUAAGAACCGUUUUAUCUUCGAGACAAAUCUUGCCGGAGACUAAGGUUGAGAGCUCUGGCUGCGGACCACCUGUUGGGUUCGAGGAAUCGGUUAAAACGGCGAGGUUUAACGAUUCUAAGGAGGUGGACUGGAAGAAGAAUGGUUUAAAGGUUGGCCAGCUCACGAUGGCUUUCAAACAGCAAUGAUGUGAGGCUGUCCAAAGAAUAAAGCAUAUGCCUCUGCGAGUUUAUAGACUUUUUUUUGACAUCUGCGAGUUUAUAAUUAAAAUGUUUGGAUAUGAUGUAAAUGAUGUAAAUAUAUAUAUAUGGUUUUUUGGGGGAUUAAGAGAGAAGAAACUAUCUGUAAAGUUGUUAAUUACAAGUGUUGGACGAUGAUGCUAUCAAGCACCUUUACCGUCAAUCAGUUGUUAAGCA